AUUGAACGCUGGCGGCAGGCCUAACACAUGCAAGUCGAGCGGAUGAAGGGAGCUUGCUCCUGGAUUCAGCGUUGGACGGGUGAGUAAUGCCUAGGAAUCUGCCUGGUAGUGGGGGAUAACGUCCGGAAACGGGCGCUAAUACCGCAUACGUCCUGAGGGAGAAAGUGGGGGAUCUUCGGACCUCACGCUAUCAGAUGAGCCUAGGUCGGAUUAGCUAGUUGGUUGGGUAAAGGCCUACCAAGGCGACGAUCCGUAACUGGUCUGAGAGGAUGAUCAGUCACACUGGAACUGAGACACGGUCCAGACUACUACGGGAGGCAGCAGUGGGGAAUAUUGGACAAUGGGCGAAAGCCUGAUCCAGCCAUGCCGCGUGUGUGAAGAAGGUCUUCGGAUUGUAAAGCACUUUAAGUUGGGAGGAAGGGCAGUAAGUUAAUACCUUGCUGUUUUGACGUUACCAACAGAAUAAGCACCGGCUAACUUCGUG
rnacentral:rRNA from 1 species